CUCAGCCUCAGCAGAGCCACUACUCCUCGUCGAGAAAGAUGAUGAAAAUCAAAUCCCCAAAGCCCCGCGCCUUCAUUCCUCAUCAUGGUCAGCUGAUUUCGUAACCCACAAUGAAGAUCUCUUGGCCCAGAUUUUGCUUUUCUUGCCUCCGAAGUCCCUCCUCCGCUUCCAAUCCGUCUCCAAGCAAUGGUUAUCCAUCAUUUCCAGCCCUGGUUUCCGCCGCAUGCACAGCCGGAAAUACCGCUCUGCCGGCUCGUCUUUCUUUGUUCUUGACAGCUGUGUCGAUGACCCCCCG
rnacentral:lncRNA from 1 species